GGCCAUUCUUGGGUGAUGCACCCCAGAAUUGGCCUCCCUCCUCUCUGGUUCUGGGGUGUGUCACCUGAUAACCACC
rfam:Myotis lucifugus cont2.43491, whole genome shotgun sequence.